CUGACGGGCGGAUAUGUGGAAUCCAUUCCGUGUUUUCCAGCUAACUUACUGUGCUAACUGAGAUAUUCAAUUAAGGAUUCCUCUUCCCACAGAAGCGGUUCUCCAGGGCAGAUCUUCCGAGCGACCCGCCCUAUGUUAGAAAUAGGAAAAUCCAAUAAUAACAACACUCCAAAAAGAAAAAGAAAAAAAAAGAGGCAACUUUGAUCACUCAUGCUCCCUUGUCAUCCACCUUAUAACCAACAUUUGUUCUAACUUGGAAAGUCGCGGGAAAGCCAGGAAGUUACGUUACAGUAAGCCAAUCAGUUUAGGGGAAGCAUCUCAUGUUUAAAAUGGCUGUGAUAUCCAAGAGAAGGCGUCAACAGACAGCUAUGUAAGAGUCUAGUGUGAACGUGCAAGCUAACUUUUGGCAAGAAGACAGUGACCCACAGGACCGAGUCAAAACUGGAGCACUCAAUAUAUCUUGAAGG